ACUCAAAUGAAUUGACGGGGACCCACACAAGCAGUGGAUCAUGUUGUUUAAUUCGACAAUAAACGAGGAACCUUACCCAGGCUUGACAUUGAUAGAAUCCCCCCGAAAAGGGGGAGUACCCGCAAGGGACUUGAAAACAGGUGCUGCAUGGUUGUCGUCAGCUCGUGCCUUGAGGUGUUCGGUUAAGUCCGUUAACGAGCGCAACCCAUGUCGUUAGUUACUAUGUCUAACGAGACUGCCUGAGUUAAUCAGGAGGAAGGUGUGGAUGACGUCAAAUCAGCAUGGCCCUUAUGCCUGGGGCCACAAACAUGAUACAAUGGUCGGUACAAUGUGCAGCCACCUCGCGAGAGGGAGCCAAUCACCAAAGCCGAUCUCAGUCCAGAUUGGAGUCUGCAACUCGACUCCAUGAAGUUGGAAUUGCUAGUAAUCGUGAAUCAGCUAUGUCACGGUGAAUCUGUUCCUGGGUCUUGUACACACCGCCCGU
rnacentral:rRNA from 1 species